GAUGAACGCUAGCGGCAGGCCUAACACUUGCAAGUCGAGGGGUAGAACACUUCGGUGUUUGAGACCGGCGCACGGGUGCGUAACGCGUAUGCAAUCUACCUUGUACAGGGGAAUAGCCCAGAGAAAUUUGGAUUAAUGCCCCAUAGUAUAUAACCUUCGCAUGUUGGUUAUAUUAAAGUUCCAACGGUACAAGAUGAGCAUGCGUCCCAUUAGUUAGUUGGUAAGGUAACGGCUUACCAAGACGAUGAUGGGUAGGGGUCCUGGGAGGGAGAUCCCCCACACUGGUACUGAGGCACGGACCAGACUCCUACGGGAGGCAGCAGUGAGGAAUAUUGGUCAAUGGGCGCAAGCCUGAACCAGCCAUGCCGCGUGCAGGAAGACGGUCCUAUGGAUUGUAAACUGCUUUUAUACAGGAAGAAACCCUCCCACGUGUGGGAGAUUGACGGUACUGUAGGAAUAAGGAUCGGCUAACUCCGUGCCAGCAGCCGCCGUAACAC
rnacentral:rRNA from 1 species